CUUUCAGUAUUAAAUAGCCCAUUGAUCGAGGAAGGCUGUAUUUUAUCACGGUAAGACUAAUGGGAGCGAAGAAAUAGAGGAAAAUGU